rnacentral:rRNA from 1 species
AUUGAACGCUGGCGGAAUGCUUUACACAUGCAAGUCGAACGGCAGCACGGACUUCGGUCUGGUGGCGAGUGGCGAACGGGUGAGUAAUGCAUCGGAACGUGCCCAAUCGUGGGGGAUAACGUAGCGAAAGUUACGCUAAUACCGCAUACGAUCUAAGGAUGAAAGCGGGGGAUCGCAAGACCUCGCGCGAAUGGAGCGGCCGAUGUUAGAUUAGGUAGUUGGUGGGGUAAAGGCUCACCAAGCCGACGAUCUAUAGCUGGUCUGAGAGGAUGAUCAGCCACACUGGGACUGAGACACGGCCCAGACUCCUACGGGAGGCAGCAGUGGGGAAUUUUGGACAAUGGGCGCAAGCCUGAUCCAGCCAUUCCGCGUGCAGGAUGAAGGCCCUCGGGUUGUAAACUGCUUUUGUACAGAACGAAAAGCUCUGGGUUAAUACCCUGGGGUCAUGACGGUACUGUAAGAAUAAGCACCGGCUAACUACGUGCCAGCCGCCGCAGUAACAC